GGAGAAAUGGCUGAGAGGUUUAAGGCAUUGGUUUGCUAAAUCAACGUACAAUUGUUUUUGUACCAUGGGUUCGAACCCCAUUUUCUCCAC
rnacentral:tRNA from 1 species